AUUGAACGCUGGCGGUAUGCUUUACACAUGCAAGUCGAACGGCAGCACGGGGCAACCUGGUGGCGAGUGGCGAACGGGUGAGUAACAUAUCGGAACAUGUCCGGAAGUGGGGGAUAACGUACCGAAAGGUACGCUAAUACCGCAUAUGCCCUGAGGGGGAAAGGGGGGGAUCGCAAGACCUCUCGCUUUCGGAGUGGCCGAUAUCGGAUUAGCUAGUAGGCGAGGUAAAGGCUCACCUAGGCGACGAUCCGUAGCUGGUCUGAGAGGACGACCAGCCAGACUGGAACUGAGACACGGUCCAGACUCCUACGGGAGGCAGCAGUGGGGAAUUUUGGACAAUGGGCGAAAGCCUGAUCCAGCCAUACCGCGUGAGUGAAGAAGGCCUUCGGGUUGUAAAGCUCUUUCAGCCGGAAAGAAAUCGCACUGGUUAAUACCUUGUGUGGAUGACGGUACCGGAAGAAGAAGCACCGGCUAACUACGUGCCAGCCGCCGCGGUAA
rnacentral:rRNA from 1 species